rnacentral:rRNA from 1 species
GACGUAGGUGGCGAACGUUAUCCGGAAUUAUUGGGCGUAAAGGGUGUGUAGGUGGCGUUAUAAGUUAGAUGUGAAAGGCCUGGGCUUAACCUGGGAAUUGCGUUUAAAACUGUUUAGCUAGAGUAUUGCAGAGGGUAGUAGAAUUUCCAGUGUAGCGGUGAAAUGCGUAGAUAUUGGAAGGAAUACCAGUGGCGAAGGCGACUAUCUGGGCAAAUACUGACACUGAGACACGAAAGCGUGGGGAGCAAACAGG